rnacentral:lncRNA from 1 species
CAUGUAUUUAAAUGGUGUACUGUAUACGUUAACAUACCCCAUACUUUGUAUUGGAGAGUACAAUAAUGUAAAUCCUGAAAGCACCACUAUUUUAGCAUAAUAAAAGAAAGUCCAAAGAGCUCCUAUAUGGACUACUCCAGAUAAACUUUGCUUCUUUGAUACUUGUAGCUUAUUGUAAUUUUUUUUAAAUCCAAAGCCAUUAUCAUUGUAUUGUAUAAAAUAAGCUCUUUGAUUAACACAGGUAUAUAGGUUUUUUUAAUUUUUCAAAAACCUAUGGAGGAUUAUCG